AAGUGUAAUUCAUAGUAUCACUCAUGGUGGUGAUGAUGAUAGAGACCUUUGAAGGCCACCACCAAGGACAGCUCUGCAUUGGUCAUCUAGGCCAAGACAGGAGUGUAACUAGGAGAGUAGGGGUAGUUGGUACCUCAACCCAGUUCUCCUCACUUCCUGUGUUCAAUCUUAACCACUGUCCUUGUGUCUCUCUGUGCCUAAUUUCAUUUCACAGUACUUACUUGUGUCUGGCAUUGUAGUUUGAGUUGAGAGUACUAGAAACCCAGGCUCCAUUCUCACCCAUCUGCUCCUGGGGCACCAUCUCUAGGUUACCCUUAAUCUCCUGGCACUCAGAAUUAAUGGCUGGGUUUGGGAGUGAGGGCAGGGAGAAAUGAGUAGGGGAACUCUGUGGAAUGAGGUCUGUGGCCAAGAGAGGACUUCAAGCCUGUAACAUGGCAAAGUGGCCCCAGCUAUUGAGGACUGGGACCAGCACCUCCCUUGCAGAUACACAACUGCAUGGCAGUGUCACAGUUAUGAUGAUGACGACACUGCUUCUCCACUCUACCUAAUUACCCUGCAUCCCAGGAAUAACUGUGUGAUGGGAAAUGCUUGCCCCAAAUCUUAACAAGAACCCACACAAAUGCUUUCAUUAAAGAACACUGACUCGGAAGCUCAAACUGUUGGAUCCUAGUGCUGAGUCUGAAAAGCAGUCAUAGUGUGAUCUUGGGCAGAUCAGUUAUUCUUUCUGGAACCCAGAUUGUUAUAUAAGUAUUUUAAAAUUUUAUUUUAUUAGUACAUGUUUGUGGUACAUCACUAAUACAUUCACUGUGAGUAUUUGGUACAUGUACCGGCACAUCUUAUUUCUUUUUACAUCCCCUUCCUCUCUCCCCUUACCUCUUUCUCUAUUUUUUGGUUCCCUUCUGAUUUUAUAAACAUCUAUCUCCUUAUUUCUUAUUGUCUAUCUUUUAUUUUGCUCUCUAAUUUACUUGUACUUAUACUUUGGGUUUCUCAUAUAAGACAAAUCAUAUUAUUUUUAAGCUUGUGUGCCUAGUUUAUUUGAUUUAACAUUAUGGAUUCAAGGUACAUCCAUUUUAUUUAUUUAAAAUAUACCUGUUAUGACCUUAACAUACAACCACUAAUUCUUUGAUUCUUGGUCCUCUAAAGUGGAGCUUGAUUUUUCUCCCCUAGAAUGUGGUUGGACUUCGUGAUUCCUUUUUAAGGAAUAUGAACAGGGAAGCAUAGUUUACAGUGGAGAGUUCUGGAACAGGAUGUCACAGCCACGUAACCAAGGUGAGAAUUCUGUAACAAGGCAUGUUAAUAUACUGUGCUCCCUAAGAGGACACAACACAAAGGGAACAUUAGCUCUUUGUCAUUCUUACUCAACAGCCACAGCCUCAGAUUAUCAGAGAAAACACCAGAUGACCCACACUGAGGAACAUUCUAUGAAAUACCUGGCCACUACUCUUCAGAAUUGUCCAGGUCAUGAAAGACAAUGGAAGAUUACAGCUGUCAGAGAUGGAAGACUAAGGAGAAUGACAAAUAUAAGCAAUGUGGGGACCUGGAAUGGAAAAGAGGUCAAUAGAAAAAUUAGGGAAAUAUGAACCAAGUCUGCAGUUCAGGUAAUAGUCUUGCACCAGUGAUAAUUCCUUAGAUUUGACAAACACACCAUGGUUAUGCAAGAUCUUAAUGUUAAUGUCAGAAACUGUCUCAUUUGUACCUACAGCUCUUCUGUAAAACUCUAAUUUCAAAGAAAAAGGACUUUUAAAGCUUAUUCCUAUUUAAAUAGUAAACUUCAGGAAUAUUUUUCAACACACAUUAUUUCCAAGGCAGCAAAAGGUCAUCAAUUUAACACUGUAAAAUAACCCACAGGAGUUGAUCUGAAUCCAUGAAGGGCUGUUGGGAAGGGUUUUUUGUACCUUUCACCUGAAAAUGAUCUAUUUGGAAGGAUUUUUGGCAAUGUGUAAAAAGAACCUUAAGCUUUCUUAUACGCUUUGGCCCAGAAUUCUCACUUUUAGGAAUAUAUCCUUAGGGAUAAUCAGAGAAUACUCUUGAGAAGUAUGUAUAUGAAAGCUUGCCCUUGUGUCAGUUUCCAUAGUGAAAAUGCAGAAGCAACCUAACCUACGUGGGCAGCUAGAUGAUGGCACACGCAUGUGCAUGUGUGGGAAGGGCCUCCCCGAAGCGCUGUGCUGAUGAAGGCCUCUAAAGUCCCCAUGCUCCAUGGCCGCCCAUGGUUGUACCUGACUCAGCAGGAAGAGUCUGCUUCUCAGAUUAGUUGGGGACUAAGUAUGGGCACAUUUGAAAACUAUGGACACUAUCUGUGAACACAAGUCAGUUACAUUAAGUCCUAGGGAUCUGGCAUGAGCAGAAGAACUUCCUUUUCUGAUAGACUCAGUAGAAGGAAAAUGUCCUUGAAAUGUCUCCCUCGUGUAUUCAAUACUCAAGACAUGUCUUUGUGAGCCUGUUCUACUGCAGGCAAUGGGCCGGGCCUGGACACAUGGGGAGAACAACACAGGCAUCAACUCUGCUUCCUGCGGCUUCCAGUGAGACGACAGAGAUCAUGCAGGGAACAAGAUGCGCCUACUAGGGGAGGUGACAGCUGUGAGGUAAACAGUGGGCAGACUCCUGUUUCACCACAGAGAACACUGGGCCUGACUUCAACAGGAGGCUCCAGGAAGGCCUCUCUGAAGAGACUGGUGACCGAGGGAAGCAGAGGGGAGAGAGUCCCAGGCAGAGAAGAGGAAAGAUGUAGGACAGGCAAGAGACUGAUGGAUCCCACUGAGAGAAGCCAGUGUGCUGGGAUGUUGUGCCUGAGGUGACCCGACAGGGCAGGACCUGCUGCCCUUGGGUGCUGGAAGGCAGAGAGUGGCUCUCAGGGGGACAAAUAGCCACAAAGACCUCAACCGAGUAGACUUGGACACCACCACUCAAAACUGCCUGAGUCUGGGGCCAAGGGUUACUUGGAGUCCUCGGUGUGGAUCCCUUCUGAAAAGAGUAGAUAGCAUCUUCAUACAAGUUCAGUCAUGGAGGAUUGGCCUCUUAUCUCAGUUACGGCCUUUCAAAUCAUCUCUUGGACCAAGGAACAGGCCUGAUGUGAAUAGAGGCGAAUAAGCUGUAACAACUAAAAGACAUCUGUCCCUCUACACCCAAACUGCCCUUCUCUCCCUGGAAGGAGAAUCCAGAGAAGUGGAAACCCCCCUUUCAUGACAAAGAGGAGAUCACCUGAUUCUGAGCAGGUGAGGGACUGAUCGGAGCUCCACGAAGGCUAGAAGAUGGCCAAUGUCGAAUCUCAACACAGCUUUUCCAAGUGUGGUCUACAAUGUCAAAACGAUUUUCAUAACACUAUGAAGUCAUGUAUUUGUCCCUUCACUUGAUCCUCUCAGGAAUAUAUACGACUUGUAACAUCACAGCUGCUGAGAGCAGAAGCAGGUAUGGAAACCCAGAUGUCUUAUUAGCCCAAAUAGUUUUACCAAAGUGUUAAGCAAUGACACCCUUCUCAUUAAUUUGGGUUUGUUUGGGGUUUUUUGGUCUUGUUUUGUUUUGGAAAAGACAAGAAUUUUCUCAAAAAUAUCUAUGUAAACAUGUCAAGAGUUAUUUUUACAAGUUAAUAAAUAUUUCAUUUCCCCACGUUCCUUUUUAAUAUGACAAGCAUUGGUAGAUGGGGUAUUGAGAUCGCAAAGUUUGCCACUGGUGGCCAAUGAAGUGGGACAGCAAGUCCCAGCCUCGGGAUCUUCAUGUCCACAAUGCUGGCUGCUGCAGGAAGCUACCUGUUUGGUCAGAGGUAUCACUUGGCAGUUCCCUGAAAGUCUCUUUCUUUAUUUUGUUUGACAUAGCUGAAAGCAUGCAAUAAAUAGUUUUUGUAAAGAUUCAAAAUUUUUUUUAGAUUUAGAAUUUUUUUGUCAUUUAAAAUGACAACACUAGUGUUUACUUGGGUUAAAACUCACUAGUGGCUUCCUGCUCUCCUUUGAAUAGAACCCUACCUGAGUUCUGCCCGCCCCUUCAACUUCACCUUCCUAUCACCCUCACCAAACUCCACUCUAUCUUUCUCCAACUGCCUCUGCUUUCUCCUGCCUCAGGACAUUUGCCUGUGCUGUGCCCUCUGUUAGAGUACUCAUACCCAAGAUAGGGCUGUCAAAGGUGAUGGCUUAUUGGGGCAAUACAGCUGGAUGGCUUGAUGUUGGGAGGUGGGGCCUGGUCAGAAGGGGCAGGUCACUGGAAGCAUGACUUGGUUCAUAUUUCCCUCCUGGGCGCCGCCUGCAUCUCUGUGCUUCCUGGCCACCAUGAAGGAAGCAGCUUUUCCCCCAUUAUGCCCCUCUCGACUCAAUGCUACCCUGGAGCCAGUCAACCAUGGACUGUGACUACGAGCCAAAAUAAACUUCUCCCCUUUUAAUGUGGGUCUGGGGUACUUUGUCCCAGUGACAAGCAAGGGACUAAGACAGUAUUCUAAUGGGAGAUUCCUUCUAAAUACUGAAGUCCAAGUCAUGUGUUCGAUGAGACUUUUUAGAUCACUCGAUGCUUUCUUAACUCUGAAAUCCUCUACUGACAUACUUCUGAUUGUCUUUAUCCUACAGGAGUAUAAUUGCCAUGGAAACAGCCUUGUUUACAAGUAGAACCCUAAUCCCCAGAGCAGCACCUGGCCAGUGAAGGUGCUCUACAAGCAGCUGUGAAGUGUUUUACAACUUUUCAUAAAUGCCAUUUAUUUACCUUCCCUGUGGAUAUACAUUAGGCUCCUCAAAUCUGUGACAUUGACACCUGAGCUCUUCCCACAGCCCUUUAACCAGAACCACGUCCUGUGUCCCUCACACUAGCUUCUGACACUGUCUCAUCUGCCCCAGCAUCCACAUCAGAUGUCUGUGAUUCCUAACUCUCUCCAGCACCCACAUGAAAUCAGUCCCCAAGUCUCACUGAUGCCUGAUGCACUGGCCAUUCUUCGCAGCUGCACCUCUCCUCCCAAGGGUCCUCUGCUAGGACAUCUGAUGGGUCCUGGAAGGGCAGCUUGGGGUGGCCAGGCAGGUCUGCUAGGGAGCCCUCUGAGCCCUGCUCAUCCCCACUCUCCACGGCAAAUGGAACCAUUCACUUUAGAAAUGUCCUUUCCGGUUACAGACAGCAGGGCUCUCACAGAAACUAAAGCCAUAAGCAGCAUUUCUUCCAUGACAUAUGGGCUGCUUCUUUCUCUCAGAGCAGAGUUCCAGGCCACCCCCCCCGACACACACACACUGAUUCCUACCAUGGGCUUACAUGCUGAUUCCCUUCUACAACCAGGAGACGAAGCAUCUGAGGGGCCCCAGAGCCUAAUGAAACUCAGUGCCUGGCACGUGGUAAGUACUCAAUCAAAGGAACCUAGCACCUUACAGGUAAGGACACUGGAGUCUGCACCCACUGGGCAGGCUGGUGUCAGGUGCUAAUCUUGCCACAACUUAGUUUCCUUAGUGAUAAAAUGAGGACUACAGGAGGCUUUGAGUGUCCCAUGAAAGGAGACUCAACAGAUGCACACUGUCAUUACAGAAGUUAGGAAACAAAGGAAGAAGGAGGAGAGGGAGAGAGGUGUGCGUGGAUCCAAGCUUUAAGUGGUGUGUAUCAUGAGUGAGCCACAAGGUACAUUUUCCCAACAAUUACACUUUUUGAUGAAAGUGUAAAUCUUUAGUGGGCCAAUAAUCAGAGAGAUUUAACUUGAUAAUAAACUAUUACAUUCACAAAAUCAAUAGAAAAUUAGAACAAGACUUAAAUGAAAAUGAGUACCUUGAUGGAAUUAAGCAUUUUCCUCACAAAUACCUAAUUAUAUCAAUCACUUCUGAUUCUGGCCUUGUCUCAGACUCUAUCGAAGCACAUUGAGUCAGUUAUAUUAGAAACUGCCUUUCCCAGGGAAGGGCAAUGGCUUAGCAUGAUUUAGAUUCAGGGACUGUCACAGAUAUUAAAGCCACAAGCAUGGUUUCUUCUUUGUCAGGAUUCUUCUCCUUGCAAGAGAUUUCCAACUACCCAAUUAUCCUAGACAACGCUUCCUUUUUAUUCUCCUUUGGUGACUAGGAACAGCUAAGAGGGGCACAAGAGUCCAGACCAGAACCCACAUGGACCUGUCCCACCCCAUUUCUGUUACCUCUGCCCCUCUGCACACACUGGUUGACCAGAUGUUCUGAUGUGGGAAGUGGUCUGUCCUGAGACUAUGCUGGCUGCAUGGUGCCAACACCAUGAUUCUGAGUGACCUCAUUUGUUUACAUAAACAGGGACUCCACAAAACUAUGCCUCAAAGUCCCUGUCCUUCCAGCAUCACCUACACUGCUUCCACUUCCAAAAUGUCUGCUCCUCAUUUUCAGUAUUCAGAAUGAGAGAGAAAGCCAUGCUCCUCAGGUAGCCACUAAUCCGCUUGGCAUGCCACCAGUGUCUUCUCGAAGAUCAGAAACACAAGAGAGGGGAGAGCUCUCUCCCUUUCCAACUCCCCUGUAUUCCUUUUUAAGGAAAGCUCCUCCUUGCUGCCUUCUCUGUGGGAGUAAUUUACUAGCCUUAUCAACCACAUUAUAUAGAGUAAAAAAUAAUCCAGCUACAAGUUACAAUCUAAAAACGGUUUGGAGAGCACAGAAUCCAGGACUCACAGAAUGCCAUAUGUAUAUAAGCCUUAAUAAGGUUCUUAAACAGUUUCAAAGGGAUUUCUGCUCCAAGACCACAGGGCCUGCUCCUUUUAGCUCUUGGUGUGAACUGGUUUUUUCAAGAUGCAUAACCCUCUGGCUGUGUGUUGCAAAGGAGAGCUAUAUAAUAACUUUUUUUGGCCUUAAAAAACAUUUGUCAUUUAAAGAGAACACAUUGUGGAAUAAAUAAGAGGUGCUCAGCUUCGGCACAUCUGCUCUUGAUUUAUGUAAUUAGCAGAAAUGCACUAGCAGGAUCCAGGAAGCCCGAGCACCAGCCCCACCCUGGGUUUCCACGGCCACAUCUGGAAGGCCAGGGGGAGGCAGCCGCCGUGCCAGGUGGAGCCGAAACCCCAGGUAACCAAGCCCACGAACUCAUCCAAGCCUUGUGAUCAGUCUCACUCUUUCUCGUCACUUUCCAAACUCUUCAUUAUGAGUUUUCUUAUAUUGUUUGACAGAACCAAAGUUUUUCCAGCCUUGACAAGAUAAUUGCUUCCAUAUCACAGCAGAAAUUUAAAAAUACACAGCUCUGUAUCUCCCUGACAAUGAUAAAUUGUCAUCAGAUACUAUCAUCUCACAAGUACACAGUGCCAGUAAUUACACAGAUUCAAACGGCAAUUUCCUAAAUAGAGCCUCUACAUUUUUGUUCUUGUUGACUCUGGGGGGUGGGGUACAUCCUUAUUAAAAGUCCCGAGGCCUAGGGUGCUCCUGAAAUAAGUUACAGGUGUGAACAGUGAACACACUCCCACAGUAGACUCCAUGAAAAUCACAAGGGUUCAAUAACAGAUUGGGAUAAGGCGUGUCCUUAAGA